UGAUGAUUGUGAGGGCAAUUUCUGAGCAUACUCUUAAAUCUCUCCCAAUCUUGGUAGAGAUUCUCUUUCUCUUUCUAUUUGAAACUCAGAAUCUCACUUCUCAAACA
rnacentral:snoRNA from 1 species